rnacentral:rRNA from 1 species
AUUGAACGCUGGCGGCAUGCUUUACACAUGCAAGUCGAACGGUAACAGGGAGCUUGCUCCGCUGACGAGUGGCGAACGGGUGAGUAAUGCAUCGGAACGUACCCAGUCGUGGGGGAUAACGUAGCGAAAGUUACGCUAAUACCGCAUACGUCCUGAGGGAGAAAGCGGGGGACCGUAAGGCCUCGCGCGAUUGGAGCGGCCGAUGUCGGAUUAGCUAGUUGGUAGGGUAAAGGCCUACCAAGGCGACGAUCCGUAGCGGGUCUGAGAGGAUGAUCCGCCACACUGGGACUGAGACACGGCCCAGACUCCUACGGGAGGCAGCAGUGGGGAAUUUUGGACAAUGGGCGAAAGCCUGAUCCAGCCAUGCCGCGUGAGUGAAGAAGGCCUUCGGUUGUAAGCUCUUUCAGCCGGAAAGAAAUACGCGCAGGAUAAUAACUCUGCGUGGAUGACGGUACCGGAACGAAGAAGACACCGGCUAACUAACGUGCCAGCAGCCGCGGUAAACGUCGU